GCGCAGCAGGCGAGAAAACUUCACAAUGUGCGAAAGCACGAUGAGGGAAUCCCAAGUGCUUGCACGUAAGUGUAAGCUGUUUCUCUGUCUAAAACGCAGAGAGAGUAAGGGCUGGGUAAGGCGGGUGCCAGCCGCCGCGGUAAUACCUGCAGCUCGAGUGGUGACCGUUAUUAUUGGGCCUAAAACGUCCGUAGCCGGUUUAAUAAAUGCCUGGGUAAAUCGGACCGCUUAACGGUUCGAAUUCCGGGUAGACUGUUAAACUUGAGACCGGGAGAAGUUAGAGGUACUCCUGGGGUAGAGGUGAAAUUCUGUAAUCCUAGGGGGACCACCAGUGGCGAAGGCGUCUAACUAGAACGGGUCUGACGGUGAGGGACGAAGCCCUGGGGCGCAAACGGGAUUAGAUACCCGC
rnacentral:rRNA from 1 species